GCCCUUGUAGCUCAAAUGGAUAGAGCAGUCCCGUCCUAAGGGAAAGGUUGAGGGUUCAACUCCUUCCAAGGGCACCA
rnacentral:tRNA from 1 species